GACGAACGCUGGCGGCGUGCCUAAUACAUGCAAGUCGAGCGGACUUAAAAAGCUUGCUUUUUAAGUUAGCGGCGGACGGGUGGGUAACACGUGGGCAACCUGCCUGUAAGACUGGGGUAACUUCGGGAAACCGGAGCUAAUACCGGAUAAUCCUUUCCUACUCAUGUAGGAAAGCUGAAAGACGGUUUACGCUGUCACUUACAGAUGGGCCCGCGGCGCAUUAGCUAGUUGGUGAGGUAACGGCUCACCAAGGCGAAGAUGCGUAGCCGACCUGAGAGGGUGAUCGGCCACACUGGGACUGAGACACGGCCCAGACUCCUACGGGAGGCAGCAGUAGGGAAUCUUCCGCAAUGGACGAAAGUCUGACGGAGCAACGCCGCGUGAGUGAUGAAGGUUUUCGGAUCGUAAAACUCUGUUGUUAGGGAAGAACAAGUACGAGAGUAACUGCUCGUACCUUGACGGUACCUAACCAGAAAGCCACGGCUAACUACGUGCCAGCCGCCGCAGUAA
rnacentral:rRNA from 1 species